ACCAAUGUGCCUUAGGUUGGACCACAUUUUCAUUUUACAUUUUGGAAAAGUGGGAUUCUUGUUUUGGUAUCUUAUCUCAUAUGAAGUUCUUUCAACCUCUUGAUCUGAGUUGAUUUAUGUUAUGGGUGCUAUAUGCAUGUUUGUUUUGUAUGUAAUACUUGGGGUUUAUAUUUUCCUGCGGUGGUCUCUCAACUUUUGAGCACCACUGUGUUGAGAGUUGAUAUUUGAUCUGUGGUGUAUCUUUAAGAGCCUGAUCCCUUCUCAAAAUUCUAUUGUUCUCCAUCUGAA
rnacentral:misc_RNA from 1 species